AUUGAACGCUGGCGGCAGGCCUAACACAUGCAAGUCGAGCGAGCGGCGGACGGGUGAGUAAUGUCUGGGAAACUGCCUGAUGGAGGGGGAUAACUACUGGAAACGGUAGCUAAUACCGCAUACCAUCAGAUGGGCCCAGAUGGGAUUAGCUAGUAGGUGGGGUAACGGCUAACCUAGGCGACGAUCCCUCGCUGGUCUGAGAGGAUGACCAGCCACACUGGAACUGGGACCCGGUCCAGACUCCUACGGGAGGCAGCGUGGGGGAAUAUUGCACAAGGUGGGCAAGCCUGAUGCAGCCAUCCCGCGGGUGUGAAGAAGGCCUUCGGGUUUUAAAGCACUUUCAGCGGGGAGGCGUUACCCGCAGAAGAAGCACCGGCUAACUCCGUGCCAGCAGCCGCGGUAAUAC
rnacentral:rRNA from 1 species